UCAAGGUAUCCCACUAUUCCCACUCCUUGAUAUUUAAUGCUUCUUUAAUUCGACGUUCACCAGAUUCGUUAGAUAUAAAUACGAAUCGUAUGAGCAAAAAAUCGAACUCCUUUUGCUUUUUCCAAUCCAGAGCUUCUGUUCAUUAUUUUACAAACCGAUCUGACCAUGGCGACCUCUCAAAUUUAUUUCUCAAAGCUGAAGGUUGGCCGCUGCAGACAGACUCUUCCAGACAAAACUGCUUUGUUUUGGGAGGCCCUAAAGGUGAUGUUUAUUGAUUCGAUGGUUAAAUCCUUAUUUCAAUAUUUGAUUUCAGAUUUAGAGUUUUAAUAUUUUUUAAAUCCAGUUGAUUAUUGUUCCUUUCAGGCGACGCUCAUCUAAGCCUCUAUCACCAUCUUAACACCUUCAAAGAUCUCCAGAGACAAGGCUCGCUGUAUGAGUUUGGUGACGCUUCUGUCGCGAUAAGAUUUACGGAUCAGACCGUCUUGGUUGAUCUCGCAUCACCAUGCCAGCCAACCGAUCUUAAGAGAACGUUUUAGGCUCUGCAAUUAUGACCAAACUCAUGACACUCACUAACACCAACUGAUUUGUUAGGUUCUGUUUCAGUACAUUCCCCUCAUAAUCACUCCAUUUUUAUUAUUUCACCUUAUUAUUGCCUUAUUUUUAUGUUUUCAUGUAGAUAUUUAUCUUACGGGAAGGUUAGGGGUAUCAUAACGUUUUCCAAUGAUGAGACCAAAGUACUCAACGCAUCAUGGGAACCAUGAAAUUUGAAAGGUAUUUGAACACCAUAGAAGUUUUAAUAUGUUGAACCGGGUCAUCUUAUCUCUGUUUCCUUGGUUUGGAAAUUCAUUAUAGUAUUAGGUUUGAUCUAUUCAGGGAGUCAUGCGUGUACCUCAGUGUAUUUGACUGCCUUGCUAAGUUCCUCAAUGAGAAGUUUGCUUCCUUCUGGUGUGGAACCAAAGGUGGUAGUGCCAGCAAACAUAAACCCAAAGUAAGUUGGAGGUCGGCUCUUUCUGAAUUGCCGCUAUCACAUUGUCUGGAAGACAUUGUUGGCAGCAUUCUGACCUUUGAAUUGAAACUCUCUCCAUUCAACUUCUCUACCAAAUAUCAAAGUUUCACCAUCUCUGGCUUUUUUAAAAGCCACCAGCGACCACCACUACCUUUGCUUGAGAAUCAUGUAAGUUAAAAUGCUGCUAUAAAGUAUCCAACGGGCUCCCGUUCUUGACUGUUCUUUGCAAUUACUCAUGGGCAGGGUGGUGAUGACAUGCCUAGUGGUAGUGCUUUGAAAAGGAGUCCUCUUGGUUUGAACAGUCGUGACCUGAACCAAAGUGGCCGCAGUGGUGAUUCGAUUGUUGAAGGCGAGAGAGCAACCACUGGUUUGAACAGACGUGCCCUGAAAAAAACUAUGUUGUUGUUUUUUUUUAAUGAUUUUCCUGGGAUUUAUGCUCUGAAUUUUAUGCUAAAAUAAUAACUCUUCGUACUCAGAUUCUAUGUUUUUAGUAUGAGAAUAACCUCUCAUCGAAAUUACUUUGGUAAUUAGGUUGAUUCUGUUAAACA